rnacentral:rRNA from 1 species
AGUGGCGGACGGGUGAGUAACGCGUGAGAAUCUGCCUUGGGGUCGGGGACAACCACUGGAAACGGUGGCUAAUACCGGAUAAGCCGAUUGGUGAAAGAUUUAUUGCCCGAAGAGGAGCUCGCGUCUGAUUAGCUAGUUGGUGAGGUAAGAGCUCACCAAGGCAGCGAUCAGUAGCUGGUCUGAGAGGACGAUCAGCCACACUGGGACUGAGACACGGCCCAGACUCCUACGGGAGGCAGCAGUGGGGAAUUUUCCGCAAUGGGCGAAAGCCUGACGGAGCAAGACCGCGCGAGGGAGGAAGGCUCUUGGGUUGUAAACCUCUUUUCUCAGGGAAGAAGAUCUGACGGUACCUGAGGAAUCAGCCUCGGCUAACUCCGUGCCAGCAGCCGCGGUAAUACGGAGGAGGCAAGCGUUAUCCGGAAUUAUUGGGCGUAAAGCGUCCGCAGGUGGCGAUUCAAGUCUGCUGUCAAAGCACGGGGCUUAACUCCGUAAAGGCAGUGGAAACUGAAUAGCUAGAGUGCCGUAGGGGUAGAGGGAAUUCCCGGUGUAGCGGUGAAAUGCGUAGAGAUCGGGAAGAACAUCGGUGGCGAAAGCGCUCUACUGGACGGCAACUGACACUCAGGGACGAAAGCUAGGGGAGCGAAUGGGAUUAGAUACCCC